UGGGGAAUAUUAGACAAUGGGGGAAACCCUGAUCUAGCAAUGCCGCGUGCAGGAAGAAGGCCCUAUGGGUCGUAAACUGCUUUUGAACAAGAGAAAACCCCGGUACGUGUACUGGGUUGAUAGUAUUGUUAGAAUAAGCAUCGGCUAACUUCGUGCCAGCAGCCGCGGUAAGACGAAGGAUGCAAGCGUUAUCCGGAUUCAUUGGGUUUAAAGGGUGCGUAGGCGGACUGAUAAGUCAGUGGUGAAAUCUCUCGGCUUAACCGAGAAACUGCCAUUGAUACUGUUAGUCUAGAGUACAGAUGAUGUGGGCGGAAUAUGACAUGUAGUGGUGAAAUACUUAGAUAUGUCAUAGAACACCGAUUGCGAAGGCAGCUCACAAAACUGUAACUGACGCUGAGGCACGAAAGUGCGGGGAUCAAACAGGAUUAGAUACCCUCGUAGUCCCUGAGCGGGCUGGCAAGGCGCAU
rnacentral:rRNA from 1 species